rnacentral:misc_RNA from 1 species
GUUGAUAUGCUCUUAACUUUUCAUCAGAAUGCAAACUAUAAUCUUGUGGUUUUAGGAUUUUAUAUGAAAAUAAGUCGAAUAAGCGCUUUAAGAUGUUUUUUUUGUGAUGAAAGGCAUUGAUUCACAGAAUCUCAAAUAAAGAAUAUCAAAGCAAAAUGAGUCCAUUGGCUAACCUGGAUGUGAAAGCGUUAAGUGUUAUAUAUUUACUUUAAAAAAAACUUCAAAUUAUUUUCAAGCUAGGAAACGAUAUUAGAACUUUAAAAAACGCAGAAAAUCAUCAAAUUCGAAAGGAAGGAAUUUUAGGAUUACGCAAAUGCAAGAUCAUUUUUUUCAUAUGUGGGUCAGAGUUUGAAACUAAUUAGGAGAAAAACAUUGCAACUAAUUUAAGAAAUGUAGGGCGCAGACGAGAAAAGAGUGGUUGUACGCAGAGAAAAUGAGUGUGUUUUGAGUAAAACAGCUGCCCCGCUUAUCGGCCAAGGUGCGCGUUGUUGUCAUGGCUACAUUGUCUGUGAGUGCGCUCUCAAACGCGCACAUUUUGUGAAUCGAUAAUCUUCUCGUCUUCAAUAUUAUUUUUCUCCUCUGUGAUACAGGCCAUUCAUUCAUUCGCUUUCUUUUCAGCAUGGCAGCUCGAAUUUACAUCGGUCGGUUGACUUCUCGUGUUUCUGAAAAGGACAUUGAGCAUUUCUUCCGUGGUUAUGGCCAAAUUCGCGACGUCCUACUCAAGAAUGGUUUUGGAUUUGUCGAGUUCGACGACAAGCGUGACGCCGAAGACGCAGUUCAUGAUUUGAACGGAAAGGAGCUCGGUGGAGAGCGUGUCAUAUUGGAUUAUUCCAAACCACGAGGAGGCGGUGGCGACCGCGGUGGUUUCGGUGGUGGCGGUCGUGGAGGUGCACGAGUCAGCUCAUACAGCGGUGGUGGCGGUGGAGGACGCGAUAGAUUCGAUCGUUAUGAUCGUGGACCACCAAGAAGAGAAAGUCGCUACGGUCGUCCAUACAGCACUCGUCAUCGCGUCGUCGUCGAGAAUCUCUCAUCUCGAAUUUCUUGGCAGGUAUGUAAAACGAAACGGAGAUAGAAACUGUAAUACAUCUAUUGAAACUUUAUCUUGACAAAAUACAACACGAUCAUCUCAAUUUGUCAGUGGGAGGAAAACAUCUUUCCUAAUAUUUUAUAUUUAAGCAGGAGAAGAUUGUAUGAUAACUGGAGGAUCUUGUUGUUGAUGAUGAUUCUUGUGAUUUGGUAUCAUGUGAUCCCGAGCCUGUCUGAUGAUGGUCGGACCGCAGAACAAAGGGCGCAAAAUGAUUAUUGGCUCUCCUUCUCCCGCGUAGUCUUGAUGUUCUUGGUUCCUGUACUUUUUGGUCCUGCACGCUGGGAUGUGAUUUCGGGUUUUUGGUGUUCGCGUGGUUAGGCUGAGUGGUUCGGAUGAUCCCGCAUCAAACAUGUGCAAGGAUUGCAUAUGGUAAUCCCGAUUGUGCGCUAUUCACGCACAUUUUUCACAACACCUUGGAAAGCCGUCAAAUAUCGACAGAUGUAAUUAUGUAGCAUCUUUAUUGUGUUUUCAGGAUCUCAAAGACCAAGUCCGCCGCCAAGGAGUUGAACCAACCUAUGCCGAAGCUCAUAAGAGACCAAAUGAAGCACUUCUCUGCUUCGCAACACCAUCCGAUCUUAAAAGAUGCAUUGAGAAAUGCGAUGGAAUGGAUUUGAAUGGAAGAAAGAUCAAGAUGAUCGACGACUCGCAAGCUGGACGCUCACGUUCUCGAUCCAACAGUCGCUCUCGCAGCCGUUCUCGCAGUCGUGAUCGUCGCCGCUCCCGCUCUCGCAGCUCGAGUCGCUCAAAGAGCCGUAGCCGUUCCCCACCAAAACGCUCUCGACGCGAAUCGAAGUCCAAGUCUCGCAGCAGAAGCCGUUCUCGCAGCGCUGACAACAGAAAGUCUCGUUCGCCAUCAAGAUCUCCAAAGAAGGUCGAUCGCUCUCCAUCUCCACCACGCGGAUCGCGUUCGCCUUCGGAAAAGGGAUCCCCGAGACGUUCGAGAAGCGCAUCUCCAAUGGAUAAUGGAGACGGUGACAACUAAACUCGCUUCGGUUCCAAAACAAAUGUUCCGUUAUUUAAUUAAUCACUAAAUUCAAAUUUCCUUAUUCCACUUCUGUUUCUCUUUUUACCCAAGCUGAAUAAGCACAGUUCUCUGAACUUUUAAAAUUUUUAUUUGUUUAUUUUAUGGAUCUCAAAUGAUAAAUUUCGAGAAAUU